GGGACGAGGGUAAUACGUGUCUUGUGGUGGGCGAGGGAGGGGGCUGGAAUUAACAAGGGGAUUAAGGAAAGGCAGGGAGCUGAGGUGCCUCCCGCUGGCAGACUUCACGGGAGAAGCAGCGUGUCUGCAAAGAGAGGGGAUGGGUUUCUGGCGAGGCAACGCCUCCCUCCAGCAGGGCUCAAAAGCCUGCAGGUCUCCUCAAAAUAAUAAUCGAGAAGGCUGUGCUGAUUUAGGCUGCGUUAUGCUACUGCAGUUUGUCUCUCUGACAGAGCAAGUGGUCUAAUUUAUGAGACACAGCUUGAUUUUUUAUGAGGCUUUUGACACCACCUGGGGGCAGUCUCACAAGCAAACUUGGCUUGUGGGCGGAAUUUGCAAAACUGCUCUUGUAAUUACCUAUGGUUCACUUCAUGUGUGCUUCAAGUAAACUCCCUGAGGGCUCGGUUCAGUUCUUGAUUAACGUCUCAGAUGAUGCAAUGGGUGCUACAUAUUACAGUUUAAUCUGGAACAGGAUUAGGGCGUAGCAUUUUAGGGUGGGAAGCUGGAACCAAGACAAACAGUGCCUACUGUAAAAUACAGAGUAAAAAAAAACCACACAUCACUUUUUUUUUUCCAAAAAAAUCGUUAAUGAUAUAUUUUUUCCAAGAAAAACAUGAAUGAUGCCUUAAUGCCAGUGGCCAAAGUUUCUACAUGUUUCUUUAAAGCCACAGUAUUAUGCCAUGUGGUGUGAGCAUUAAGACCUUAAAAGAACCUAACUAUUUUUUAAACCACAAAACAGUUGAAAGAGAAGUUAUGUGUGUGCUUCAACAGAAGUUCAGUUUGGGAAAGAUUGAGUAGAAGUUGUAUAUAGGUGAAUCUCAAUCUUUUUUAUCUGUGCCAUCUGACAAAGUAAAUGUGAAUAGUACAGUCUGCUUUCUGAUUUUCUCUGUAUGAAAGCUUAGUUUGCCAGCAGUCAUUCACCAUUAUAAAUAACCCCACACGCUGCAUGAAAUUUAUUUAUGCAUUAUUUUCCUAGUGAUAGCUUCUUUGAGCUCCAGUCACAAAUGUACUUCAGAGGUGGCCUUGCUCCAAGUAUGCUGCCAGUUGGCCUAAGAACAAUGAUGACCAUCUGGGGAGAUAAGGAAGUCCAAAUGCAGCUGAAGUCAGUCAUAAAAAAUGCUUUAUUGCACAAUAACAAGUUCAAGUGAAUAGCUGGGGCAGGCAUCCUUUGGAGAGCUACAACAUUGUUACAGAAAAAUAUCCUAUUUUAAGACUUUCUGAAGAAAUUACAGGCUGUGGAGAUGAAAAGCCAGGAACAAGUCACUGAAGAGUCCUUUUUAAAGUUCAACAGCCAGAUUUGUGUACUACUUGGUUGACAAUAAGGAACUGUUCAUCUGGCUUUUUUCAGUCUGUGAUGAAAAGGUCUGAAUUAUCACAAAUAAACAUGUAAUUAUAAGAAAAUAAUAAGCCUCUGACCACCAUUGUUACUUUUUGUAGCAGCUCUAGACUUUUAAGUCAAUAAUCCGUAACAAAAAAAGGUAAAAUGGAAAAAGCAGCACUUAAAAAGGAAAACAGGUAUACUUGGCCAUCUUCAGAAUUUGAGGAGGAACAUCAGUUUUGAGUGACUUAACCAGUGUACAGAGGGUAUGUUUGUCUUAGUUUUGCAUCUCAGUUCAUUGACUGUUGAAGGGUUAUGGGUUGCCUGUGCUCCAAAUGUGUAUACUCAUUUAAGGUUAGGGGAGACAAAUCUAGGCUAUAGGGAGGACAGUACCCCAGUAGGCAGAUUUCUGGUGACCUAUUAAUUUUAUCAAUCCAUCCAGUGUAGUCUGGACCAGACUUAGGCUACUUGGAGGAAUUAGAGGAGAAGAUGUAAAUGACAUAAGGAACAAAUGAACUCUGCACUCUGUGCUAUCUGAAAUUGACCCUGAAUGUUGAAAAAAAAUGGUAAUCAUUUUUAUCAGCCAAUAAUCAAAAAGUUCAGUCUAUAUAUCAAAAAUUAAAAUAAUUAAUUUUUUUCUUUUCAGCUAUGCUAAAUGUCAAGUGACAGAUUUCCCCCUUCACAUAUCUAUUUAUGGUCCAUAAGUGGCCUAAUUAUUACCAGUGUCCUCCGAAACCUUGAGUAAUAAUUCUUAUUGGUAGCAGUAAUACUCUGAUUAAGAAAAAAUUAAUCAGCUCCAGGCUUAACUUCUGCUGAUACUAAAUAAGUUCCUUAUGAUCUUUCUCUUUUAUGAACUUGGAAAAAAAUAUUAUAAAAUACUGGAAAAUUUGUAUUACAGAACUAAUAGAGGAAGAUUCAAUGUAACACCUCCUAGCAGGGAAGACUUGCAAAAAAGUAUCUCCAAAUUUAUUAAAAGUAUGUGCAUCUUGCUUUAAGAAAACCUAUCCUCCUACUGAAACAGACAGGGUUAUUAAAUUCCAUAUGACAAUACUGUUUAAGAAUAGUUUGGAGAAGAAGUCUGGGGAUCGAACAGCAUGGAAAGGAGGAUGGUGAUGGAUGAGGACUCGCGGAAUUCUGAUCAAUCUACUUGAGAGUUCCCCCAUGAGGGUGAAGUAGGAAACCAAGAUGCAGUGAGCACCCAGGAGCUUCCACCCAUCAAACCAUGGUCAACAGAGCAGGGUCUUCAUCUUGCAUGACUGGGAACACUUCCAUGUAGCUCUGUCAUGGCAGGUACUCUGAUGUCUCUUCUUUAACUUGCAGGAUUUCCAACAUAUCUCAUUAGACCUUGGGAGCAUCUCCAAUGCUCAAGGUAGAUUUUCUGUUAUUGUAGUAGUCCAGAUACCAGUGAUACGAGGUGUGUGCAAUGAGAAUGCGUUGUCCCACAUUUGUUCAGAAUUCCCAUAUUUAAAAAAAAAAAAUAAAAAAAAUUAAAAGAAUUGUAAAAAAUUGUGCUAAAGGGCCAAAUGUACAUGAAACAAAAAUUGCAUUUACAUACUGUAAGUAGUAAAAGAAGUUUUGUGGAAACUGGCAAAGGGACAGUCACUCUCAGUGAUUGGUAUAUAAUCUUCAAUACAAUCAGAAACUGCAGUAUGUUUAAAGUGGAUGUUUUCUGUUGUGAUGUGAAAUAUUUUGCAGAAGAGCAUGAUUUCUAAACAAAGUGGGGCUUUUAUUCUGUGGGAAGUUUAUUGUAAGAGUGCAGCAUGAAAAUUCAAUUUUUGGUCUGUCUUUCCUGCACAUCUUUCACCCUGAUCUUCCGAAAUAGAAGGAGCAAAGCUGCAGACUAUUUCAGAGCAUCAGCCUCCUAUGGAGACAAGAGGAUAGACGGAAAUGUGCGAGAAUCAAAGACAUUCUCUUGGGCUUCAUAAGGACUUUCCAGUGCAAAUCUCAGACUCCUUAAUCACAGCAAAUAACACUGCUGGUCAUGAGACAGCCUCACAGACAGGGGAGAGGCAAGAUCAUGGUGGUUAGGAGAAAUGGAGGAUCUGUUUAUAGCUUCUGAACUGGUGGGAACAGAGAGGAACUGUCUUUCUUGCCCUGUUCCAAUGAUUGGGAAAAAGAGAUUGUUAUUUUUCAAAACUUUUUUAAAGACUAGGUAAAUGUCCUGUUUACAGUACAGCUGAUAUUUUUCUGGCCAUUUCGUGCCCAGAUGCAGCUAUUUGGGCCAUAUUGGUGCUAUCCCUGAACAAGUCAUCUGAUACCUUCUCUGGCCCUGUGCGCUAGAUAUAGUGGCUUUGGGGUUGCUGCUGCCAGUAUGGUCCCACUGUGCUCAGUCAGGGUGGCAGAGGGUGCCCACCUACUGCCACACAGUGUGCCACACAAAGUGCCAUGGCCAGGAUGCACUGCACAGCACUGGGCACAGCGGGAUGCACCCUAUCUCUGAGUGUACCAGUGUGACCUCUGCAGGAGUUCACAGCCCACCUGAAGUCAUGCCUGGAGACUGGGUUAUCUUACUCCAGCUGCAUGACCAGGAAUGCCAGGAGCACCUGCAGUCACCACUCCUGCACAUUGAUCUGCAGUGACUUACCGCUGUUGUGGGAGGUAUUGGUUCCCAAAAUGGGAUAGCCCUGCAUUAAAUAGUAUGUUGGCAAAGAUAGCAUGGCAUUCCCUUUACAUCACCUCCAGAUAAUUCUCCUCUGGCCUUACCUUACUUCUUUCUAGGUCUUCUCAUGUGUUAAAAACCUCUUGAUGGGAGAGUGUUUGGAAGAUAAAAAACCUCAAGGAAAUAAAAUCUCCACAGCUACUAGGCACACCUUUGCACUUACCAUGCAGUGCCAUCUACAGUUGAAAAACUCUUCUGACACUCAGAUGACACCGCAGUAUUGUUUGGUUAGCAGCUUGCAGGCUUAGCAGAGCAAUUCUGCAACAAAAACUAUAGUACUGCAGUUUUCUUUGCAAGCCGAGCUUGUUGAAUGUGGGCUCAGGACUCAAGGCAGAUCUCUUAUCUAGUCUCAGCAUUGCCAGUGGCUCACUGAAUAUUGCUUUAGGCAGUGGGGAGAAUAUUCAUCCUUCCUCACUUCCACCGUAGUCUGUCUCCAUGCACAGUAAGAAUAAGCUCCUCCACUGGAACUGUAGGAAACAGGAACUUAACUAUUUUGCUUUAAAUUGUCCCUUGUAGGAGGCUGUUUCUGAUCACUGACUCCCCAGCAAAAUAGAAUCAUACAAUGGCCUGGGUUGGAAAGGACCUUAAAUAUAAUUUAGUUCCAUGGGCAGGGAUACCUUUCACGAGACGGCUUUGCUCAGAGCUUCAUCCAACCUGGCCUUAAACACUUCCAGGGAUGAGGCAUCCACAGCUUCUCUGGGCAACCUAUUCCAGUGCCUCACAUCCUCACAGUAAAUAAUGUCUUCCUAUUGUCUAAUCUAAACAUGCCCUCUUUCAGUCUGAAGCCAUUCUCUUGUCCUGUCACUACAUGCUCUUGCAAAUAAUCUCUCUCAUUCUUUCCUGUUGGCUCCCUUCAGGUACUGAAGGGAAAUGGAGGGAGGUGGCUAAUAGGGCUACCUAUAGUACAUUGAAACCUAUGAAUAAAAGGCUGAAAAAGAAAUGGUAAAUAUUUCAAUAGCUAAAAUUUGAGAUUCAGUUUUAGUGUGUGAUGAAAUGGCAAAUGAAGGUGCAAGUGAAGUGAUAAAAGAAGUGAGUAGGGUCUCCUUUUUCUGAAAUUUUUAAAACAAAUAUAUAGAGUCAUAGAAUUUGAGUGUGAGUCAUAGGUUUGGGUUGAAAGGGACCUUAAACAUCAUCUUGUUUCAACACCCUGCCAUGGGCAGGGACAUCUUCCACUAGACGAGGUUGCUAAGGGCUCCAUCCAUAAUAGUUCCUAUUAGCUCUACUAACUGAGAUAUUCUUCUCCAUUUCCCCACAAAACUCAAAUUCAUAGUCCUUAUGCUCACUGUUUGACUCGCUGUUUCAGACUAGCUUAAGGAACACUACUUUGUCAGAAGAUACCAGUCUCCCUUUAUGAUUUCAUUACACGGGAAAUAUUUUCAGGUGUGCAAAAGGCAAGUCUUUCUCAGCCACUGAACUAAAAGCGUGGACCUCUUCCCGCAAAAUAUCAUCUCCUGUGCAAACUGCUAGAAAUACUCUCUCGUCUGUUCUGGAUGGAAGAAGUCUUCAAAUCACCUGCAGGGAGGCUUCUCAGAGAAGUACAAAUCUGUGGAUCAAACAUUAAUCAGGAUGUAGAAGAAGGUGGCGGGCUGGUUGUCCCACCCAGCUCAGCCGCUGCGGUUCUCUCAAGAACAUCACACAUGGCGCCACUAGAUGCCACUGUCGAGACACAUUUGUUCUUUGAUGUGGCUUCUCCAAAGGUAUUCAGGAAAAUCACAUUAAAAGAAUGGCAAGAUAUGUUUA